rnacentral:lncRNA from 1 species
UUGUAUUCAGCACCGCGAUAGAGGAUACAAUCAUUAGGGCAUGCGUGUAUCUUCUGAACCUCCAAUCCCAUAGGGCAAAUAAUCUGUUUAGCUUCAUAUGUUGUGGAUGACAAUUCAUUAUUCUUGGGAAGAAUCUUCUUGACAAUUUCCAACAUUCCCUGAAAUGCCUUAUUGGAUACACCAUUUUUAGCCUUCCAUUGCAUAAAUUCUAGUGUGGUACCCAGCUUUUUAUAGCCUCCCUAGCAAUCUGGGUAUAGCAAUUUCCUGUGAUCAUCUAUCAUGCGCUGCAACUUUGAUGCUUCCUUUUGAGUUUUGCAAUCUCUGUGUGGAUCCCUAAGCACCUGACCGAGGUCAUCAGUAUGGCCAUCUUCUGUAAACUCAUCUUCAUCAGCCUCACCCAUUGUAGUAUCUGCAAAAGAUUGGCCUAUAGCGCAGUCCGAAUGUUGUCAUCAUCCUCCUCUUCACCGUCUUCCAUUACAACCCCUCUUUUGCCGUGAUGAGUCCAAACCAAAUAGUUAGGCGUGAAACUGUAUCUAAACAAGUGGUUGUGAAUAGUCCCCCAGGAAGUCUUUGAAUAGCACUUCUGGUUACUGCAUUGGGCGCAUGGACAAGAUAUGAACCCGUUCUCUAGCUUGUUCGCUUUGGCCACUUCAAGAAAAUUAUUCAUGCCAGCAAUAAACACCUUGCUCCGCCUAUCCGCGUUAUUCAUCCAUUGUCGGUCCAUCUGCAUCGUAUUACGCAAGCCAUCAAUAAAAUGGAUUACAAUAAAAUUUAAGAUAGAAAUAGACAAAUUAAAAUUUCAGAAGCAAACAACAUCAUACAGUACGACCAACUCAAAUAUUGCUGAAAGUUUACAUAGAAAUACACAAAUUAUUUAGCUCAUAUUUAAUUUACAAAUAACUAAACUAUUAAAAAAUUUAAUAUUUUCCACAUAAUGUACUUAUUCUAAAAAUGGCUAAUUUCAUACCUCUAUCUGAAAAGUACUAAAGUAUGAAAUUACAACUACAAUUUAUAUGGCUAAUUUAUAAGUAUUAAAAACACAUUUACUCUAAUUUUUCCCUAAUACAUAAAAUUGAAAUAAUCUCAAUUCUACCUCACAUUUACUGUCCAUUCUCCCUCACAUUCAAACUAUCCAUCACACUGUAGCUCAAAAAUAUGUAUAAAUACAAAUCCUCUACAUGCUUAACAACAAACAAACUCAUUUUUCUCCCUUUCUAAAGUAUAAAACAAAGCUUAACAACAAUAAAUGAACAGAGCAUGAAAUAGCUAACCUUCACAACAAUUUGGAUGGGUGAAAUCCCCACGGAAAUGAGGAAAAAAAUUUCAGCAGCA